UACGGAGGGUGCCAACGUUGCUCGGAAUCAUUGGGCGUAAAGCGUAUGUAGGCGGCUCGUUAAGUCGGAUGUGAAAUCCCUGGGCUCAACCCAGGAACUGCAUCCGAUACUGGCAAGCUUGAGUACAGGAGAGGGUGGCGGAAUUCCCGGUGUAGAGGUGAAAUUCGUAGAUAUCGGGAGGAACACCUGUGGCGAAGGCGGCCACCUGGACUGAUACUGACGCUGAGGAUACGAAAGCGUGGGGAGCAAACAGG
rnacentral:rRNA from 1 species